GUGAAGGCAUAAAACCGCGAGUCUUUAUAUUUGCUGCCAUCGGGCGGCCCACCCUUCUUCAAUGACUUGGAGUCGGAUUUGUGUCGAGCUUUGAAAAUAUUUGGAUCUACCAUAAAUGUGAAAAUGGGCUGUCUUAUUUGGCAAUGAAACUUAUCAUGAAGGAAAGGGUUGAGGAGUGGCAGUUGAUGACGAGCUCUCCUUCAUUCCCUGCAUGCGCGCCCUCGAAGAAGCAAGAGGAGGAGUCAAGCAUCUAACGCUGGCAGUAAUCUGUCUUUCUGCUCGUCUGUGUAUCUCCCACGCUUUCGAGAAAAAUACCCCAAUUUUCUUCCUGCCUUGGCUCUAGUUUCUCUGAACAGAAAGCCAGUCGAACACUGAACUGAAGUCUGAAAUCUUGAAUUAAGAUCAGAAAUAGAGUGAGUCUUGCAGAAAUGUGUGAUGAUUGCUAAAGCUUGAUACAUUGUUGGCCCACAAUCUAACAGCGUAAGCUUUUAGAUAAAGUGGUAAUUUGACAAGAUGAGUUGUUCAGCAGGUGAUUCAAGCCAUAAAGGUGAGAAUUCUCAAAAGACGGACCUACAAGCACUUGCAUUAAAGAAGCCUAAAAUGACUGAAUUUCAAGGUGAUGAAUUUUGGCCACUUUCAGGGAAGCUGCAUUUUAGUGUCAUUCUUGCAAGAUCACACGUGAAGCCUGUGUAUCAAAUGGUGGUGCCAUCUAGAAUGUACCCAAUACUUCCCUCUUUUAAUGUCCCUGUGGAACUCAUCUAUCGAUCCAAAGUCUGGCAGAUGAUUUAUAUGGGAGGAAACCGGACGCACAAAAGGUUUGAUUCCAAAUGGAAAGUGUUUGUCAAUGACAAUAAUCUAAGAGCUGGGGAUGCAUGUGUAUUUGAAAUAAUGGAGUGCAGUGAUACAAAUAUUAAGUUCAAAGUCCAAAUUCUCAGGGGGGAUAUCCCAUUUAAUUUGGUAGAAAGAAAAAAUGGUGAGAGUUUAGAUUCUGCUGUAGUCAUUGAAUAGAGUUCCUUUGUAUAUAAUAACUGUGAUUGGGUUUUUCAAAUUGCCUGUACAAAUUUCGAGUAGGUAACUGGCUUGUGAUAUACAGUAUACUCAAAAACUUGUUAGGAGUUUUACAUGUAGUGCCGAGUGCAUAGCUUCAUCUGUACUAGUCCCUCUUUUUCCCCACUUUGCUGCUGUGUAAGCUUAUGCUUUAUAUUUUUUGUUGACAUCUCUCCUUUUGCUUUACUCUGCCAAGUUUUUGCAUGUACCUACUAAAUUCUGUUGCAGCAUGACUGAUUAUGAGCCUAAUCAAGCUUUCUGGCAUGGUUCGAGCCUCACUUGUUAUCUUAUGAAUUUUAUAAGAAUUUUGUUACUCAUUUUGAGCUUGGUUUGUGUAAGUUCUUCACAAAUGAGAAGAGUUCCUUGGUGGACAGAAAUUGUGCCAUUUGGUCAGACAGCUUGGCUGCUUAGAGUCGUAGAUGGAGGGUUUCUGUCUUGGGCAUUUGACUGUUCGAAGCUAUGAGCAGUUUGCACAUCUGAUUUCCGCCACUGUGUGCUCUGCACAACUCUUGUACAUCGUCCUUUUUAGGUGUUUUUGGGUGCACGUAGAAACAGAAGCAGUUUGCGUUGGAACCAGCAAUGUAAAUUGAUCAGUGGGCCUUCCUCAUCUGUAAUUCCUUCUGGGAUGGCUAUGGCUCCUGGAAGGUAAUUGUGUUUGCAUUUUGUUACCUGUAUGUUGCCUUUUCUGAAGUUGAGAUGAUUGCAUUUGAAUUGUUUCCCUUAUGGAGGGGACUCAGCCUCAACAAUUAUUUACCCUUUGUUUGCAAGGGUGAAUUUGUUUCAUGGACUAUCCCAAUGUUCGUUACACUAGGACAUAAUGGAUUGAGAGUGAAAUGCAAUAAGAAAUUAUAUAGUUAAUAUAUAAAAUUAUGAAUCAUCUUGGCUAAUCC